GACGUAGGGGGCAAGCGUUGUUCGGAAUUAUUGGGCGUAAAGCGCUCGUAGGCGGGACAGGAAGUUCGUGUUGAAAGACCUCGGCUCAACUGAGGGACCGGCUCGAAUACUCUUGUUCUUGAGGCAAUCAGAGGGUGAUGGAAUUCCCGGUGUAGCGGUGAAAUGCGUAGAUAUCAAGUGGAACACCAGUGGCGAAGGCGAGUCUCUGGACAUUUCCUGACGCUGAGGCACGAAAGCCAGGGGAGCAAACGGG
rnacentral:rRNA from 1 species